CGCUGUUCGUUAGAUUGCUGCCACGGCGUCGGACGGAGACGAGAGCGGGGCAGGAGGAGCGGGAGAAGACGUUCGUCGAAGGGACGCUUUAACGGGAGAGACUCGCCAAAGCUGCACGGCGACAUUUUCAUCCGCAACAGCCCGACUCCACCCCGACCAGACGCGGCUGGCUCCCCCAUGGACGGAUACGGCCGGACCGAAGAUGAGCUCUUCUCCUCCCGCCUCCUCAACCUCACCUGGGAGACUUGCUACGAGCAGGAGCAUUUAUGUGUGAGGCGCCAUGGUUUGGCUCCAUGAUGGAUCUACUCAGGUUGCUGCUGCUUCUUCCCAUGAUGCCUGUUAAACUGCACUCUGACUUGCAUGAUAAUAGCACGCCGCCCUUCUGGACAACAUUUUUAAUGCACAGAGAGUGGAAUUUGUGGAUUUAUGAGCACCGGGCUUAAAAGAUCCUCCUCCUUUUGCAUCUUUAUUUAUUUGUAUCGGCUGCACUCACCUACUCCUCAGUGAUUUCAUUACUAAAUUAAGCGACCUAUAAUCUUACACAGAUAAAUGUGGGAGCAACAGUGUGUGAUGCAGCACCGAAUACUGUGUCCUCUAUACCUGAUGACAUGCAAAGUUUAUCACAAGCAGAGCAGAGACAUGGUCACCUUACCCCGGGCCUCAUUGUGACAGCCAGCAAGUCACUUGAGAGCACCAUCGGAAAUCAAUAAUCCCCCACUCUUUAAUUGUUAGGAAAAAAAAUCUUUGCUGCAUCACAUCAUCAGUCAGGACAACCUGACUUUCAUUUAUUUUUGCAUUUUAUACUCUUACUUAGCCUUUUCUGCCUCUUUGAUAGUUUCUGCUCUGUGAAAUGCACAAGCUGGCUGAUUGUUCUGUAGAUUACUUAAUGGAAACUGUCUGGAUUUUAUUUUAAAGGACCCGGCAUGCAUACAAAAGCGCCUCAUGUUGACUCGGGUGCAUUUGUGUCUUAUCUCGGGGUACGUUUACAUCAAUGUCAGCUCCUCCGCUGUUGUCUUAAGCUAACAGGAGAAGCGCGGCGGUUCCCGCCUGCUUGAUGUUUGCUGAUUCCCAUCAUAUUUUUGUCUUUAGGUCACACAUCAAUUCCCUUCUGAUGCUGAAAUCCCAAAUGUUUUUUUGAGUCAUGAUGCCUUUUAGCUUCUGUUUCUGUGGCACCCUUGAUUCCAGGUUGUGUCAGACAUUUAUGAGGAGUUCAGCUACAUUGAAAAUUUUGUUUUAGUUGUUGAGGGGAGGUAAUCCUCGUCUGAUUUGCUACGUUUCUGAUUAAAGUGCAGUAGAAUAUUCAGGCCCUAACAAAAAAAAAAAUUGGACCUGUAAUUUGACUUUGGGAAACAAAAAAAUACAGUCUACUUCCUUUUUAUGAGUCUAAAUCAAUGGUAAAUGGUGUAUAUUGUUCUUUACUACUUCUUAGGCUGUAAGAAGGUAGUUAGGCACUGAUGGCGGCUCCACUGCCUAACAGCAGCGUCAACCUGUAACCGCCAGGAGACACGGGGUUCAGCGUCUUGCCCAAGGACACUUCUACAUUCGGCAAUGUGGCUAAAGGGAAA